GCCUCGUUGGCCUAAUGGAUAAGGCAUCGUUUUUCUAAACCGGGGAUUGUGGGUUCGAGUCCCACCGGAGUA
rnacentral:tRNA from 1 species